UGCGCACACUAGCGCGAUUCGCGCGAGCAACGAUCUUUUUUCCGCAAGAUAUACGCGCGUUUAGGCACGUUUUUCGUUUCGGCGGUGCAUAUGUGCAUACUCGACUCGCUUAUCGAACUUACUGGCCUCAUACACUCGAUUCUAUACUCAAAGAGAAUAUCUAUAAAUUGACGAUUGUGCACGUGUGUAUACAGUGUAGCAGAGAUUUACUGCUGUCAAAAGAAACAUUCGUAGAGCGGGUCAGAACUAGUACGGAAAAAAUUGCAGACUGCAACACAGAGCUCUCGCGAUUUUAAGAAAUUUCGAUAAUGACAAGGAGAUAAACAGGCGAUCCGCCAAACGGAAUCAAGGUCACGUUAUCAAUUGAACUCGAGAAAAGCAUCGACAGCAGCAGCAGACAUACACGAUCAGGCCGAGCGUGGUGCAGGGCGCGCACGACUGCUAUCUGCAACAAUAUAGACAGAAAUAUACAGCAACGAUGAGGGGAAAAAAGCUGAGCUGGCGGUAAGCUCUAGCUUCAGGCGUCCGUUCUAUAGGCUUUUUUGGCUCUUAUCAUCGUCGUCAUCGUCAUCAACGUACUACUGCCAGUGCUGCUGUUCGCAGAAUUAUAGGCCGCGGCUGCUGCUGCUGCUGCUGCUGCUUCUGCUGCCUGUUGGCUGAAGCCAGCGUCGAGAGAGUCAACCAAGUUCGUGCAAGAGCCCGAAAGAGUGGCCUAACCCCAAUAUUAUCAUCGUCCGUCUCUCUCUAUCCGCGCCGCGGCAGGCACAGCACAGCAUAGCACACAGAGUGAGGCAGCGCAGCAAAAUCUGCGAGCUCGGGCGCGCGCGCAACAAUAUACACGGAGAGAGACGUGAGCCAAGAGCCGAACAGUGCUGCUCUGCUCUGCUCUGCUGCACACAUAAUAUAUACGUAUAUAUACAACUUCAAACUGUGCGUAUGUGUAU